ACACAUUAGUCCUUUUAGAUGCCUCCUCUCACCCUUCCUUAGGCAGGACUGAAGCACCAGAGCCUCUUGGGGUGUCCUCUGGGUUGGGACAGCCUCUCACCCCAUCCCCUGCUCGGGGGAGCUCCUGUAGCUGCCCUGCUUUGUGCUCUGCUUCCUCAGCACCGGUUACGCAAGAGGCUUUGGAAGCAAGACAAAAUAGCAGCGGGAAGAAAUCAUCGCACGGCUCUGGUGGGAAAAGAUAUUAUCCUGCGUUGCCGGCGAGACUGGCCGUCGGCAGGUAGGGCCCGGAGGAGCGCUUCGUGGCAGGAUGAUCGCUGAUAAGAUGCCGGGUCCUGCUCCGAUGGCCUCGGGAGAGGGAAGCGCUGUGCUGUGAAGCUAUGGAAACGGCCAGGCUGGGUGCGGAGCGGUAAUUGGGCCACUCGCAUCACCGCAGGUAGUUCCUCCCCUUUCCAGGAUGAUGAGAACAGCAGUGGGAGAUUUAUCCUUGAGAAGGGAAGGAUUCAGAGGGAUCUAAAGCAGCCGUGCAGUACCUAUGAAGAGAUGUUUGAGAAGACAGCCAGACUCUUCAGAGCAGUUCAUGGUGAGAGGAAGAGAGACAACAGGUGUAAGGAAUUCAGUGUUUGGCUGGAGCGUUCAAAGGAGAUUUAAAAAGAGAAGAUAAAAAAGAAAGUUAAAAGCUGCCCAGUGAGGGGUGGAAGCAGGAACGUGGGGAGAGAUCAGGGGCAGCGCCGUCAGCAAAGCAAUGGCAGGACACCGAGAGAAGAUGAGGAGAGCCUUCAUCCCACGACUGCCCAGCCAGGACACUGAUUCCCAUCCUCCAGCAUCUGCAUCUGUUGUGGCCAUCUGCAAGCUGAGUCCUGGCAUUUCCAGAGCCCUGGAGAGCCCUGACUCUGCGGGAGGAGUGGGGCUGGAGGCAGCGGCGCUGGGCGACCCCGGUGGGAGCAGGGAGCCGUGCCUGGGGGAGUGGGACCGGCAGCCUGGGAAGGACGGGAUGAAGCAGGGACACAGAGCAAGACACCGGGAGGGAAAAUGUUAAUCAACUGCAGUGCCUCCCUGAAAGGAGCCAAAUGUAAAUGAGAUAAUUAAGCUAUUAUUUAAAGCCGGGAGACGGUGGGGACAGGCCCGGGGUGGCCGGACUGCAUUUUAAUCAGCUGCCUGGCUGGGGCUGGGGAGCCCGUGCUGGUGAUGCCCCUGCCUCUGAUUCCCUGCCUCUGCAUCCCUGCCUUGGCUGCCGGGCUCCUGGGUUACCGAACAGCCCCUCUGUGAGCCACUGCCAACCGCUGUCCCCUCUGCCCAGCCACUGCCAUCCCGUGUCCCCAGGUAACCUGCCAGGUCAGGGGGCAAGGGGUUCAGGUGUGGGGGGUAUCUACUCCUGUGUUACCACCUUUCUGUGGGGUUUUGUUUAGGCUGCAGGAGUCCCUCUGGUGCCUCAGUUUACCUGUUCUUGCUGUUUUGGAUGCUAAAAGCUUGUAACGAGAGUAAGCAGUGCUGGUGAGGAUAAAUCCACCCAAGGAAAAGCAGAAUUUAAUUGCUCCAGUGGUGUUGGCCAGACUGGGUUUUGGGAGCCUUUUUUAACUGUCUUGUGUGGAGUUACCAGGUGACCAGAAGAAGUCUAAGUAAUUGCCCUGUGGCUCCGUUUCCCCACCUCUGGGAGCAGCGCUGAGGUUUGGAGCCGCUCUCAGCACAGUGGGGAGCUCCAAGGUCACUUGUGAACUGCUGUGAGCCAAAAAAUGGGGCAGAACUGGACUUUCUUCCUGUGUUUCUUUGUUUUGGUCAGGGAUGGAAAAGAAAACUGUCCAAAGCCAUCCACAACAAGGACAGUGAAGUCAUUUUGUUCCCAUGCCAUCGGGACCAUCCUUGCUGGUGGUGGAAGAUCUGGCUCCUGGAGGCAGAGACCUCUGAGCAGCAGGGGGAAGACGGAUGGUUGUUCGCUCCUUUUCUCAUAUAUCAACCAGGAUCUAGGUGAAGCACAGUUAGUAGGGGCCAGGUUCAAAGGAAACCCGAGGAGAUGUCUGUUCCAUGGAGCACCCUUAAGGAGAGCUCCACGCUGCAGGGGGAGCGGGUGCUCCCACUUCGCAUGGGAGGUGUGAGAGUUCAAAGACACAAGGAAAAAGCCCAUGGAGAGCUCUUAAGGAGAAAGGCAGCACCUCUCCAGCUCAGAAAACCCUGCUCCAUGGAUGUCUGGAGAUCAGGGGAGCAAGCAAACGUUUCACGUGCCAACCACAUUUGUAAUCGCUUCCCCAGGCACCUGGCACUGGCCCCGAUGGAAAAGGGGGACCAGGUUAGACAGAUGCCUCCUGCCUCUUUACAACACAGCCCUUAUCUUUCAAGAGGCUUUCUUACUGUAUGGUUAAAUGGUAAAUUAAAAGCCUGAUCCAGAGUGGCUUUCAAGUGCCUUGCUCUUAUUUAGGUACCUCCUUCCUGCUAUUUCCAUUCCUUCACAGAGCUGGGCCCUUAAAUCCUGAAGACACUUCAGAAAAUGCUAUCCAGCAUUCCAUCUUAGCAAAGGAUUAUUCCAGCUAGUCCACGGACCUCUGAGCAUCCUGCCAGUGAUGGCAACUGACCCCUGGCUGUGUGUGGGCUGGUCCUGUGCCAUGUCCCUCCUGGGGCUGCCAGUGGUGGUGGCAGGGACACUGUGGAGGGGGUUGGUUUUUCCAAAGCACGCUGCUGGGGAGCACCACGCUGACCCACCCGAGCGUGAACCCAGCCUCCCACUGCUUUAUUUGCGCAAAGCAGCCGGGUUUUUCUCCCUUCUCUCCACCCAGGCAGCCAGGCUGCAGCUGCCUCCCCUCUCCUGGGCCUGGGGAGGGACUUCAGGUGCCAUCGGGCUAUAAAUGCUUAGCACCAGCCCCGCUGUGGGGGUGCUGCAGUUUUAUUUGUGCGCUCAGGGUGUGCACGGGCAGGUAUGGCCUUUGCUGACUGAGGAAUGGGUUUGCACCCUUGUGUCUCCAUCUCCCUCCCCCCCAGCUCUCAGGUGGGGUGAGCGCCAUCAGCUCUGCCAGACGGAUGUGAUCACAGAGUGUGUCCAGGCCUCCGAUCAAUCACUGAGUGUCCCCAGGGCUCAGAUCUCAGUGGCCCUGGGCAAGAUCACACAGAUUGAGCUUGGAAGCUGGGCUGGAAGUCCUUUAUAGCUCCAAAAUAAUUUGAGGAAUGAAGAAAGCAAAUUCCCUGUGAUUUAUCCAACCAAUCCCAGAGUGAUGAGGAGGAGUUUGGGGUCACACGUGGCACAGGGGUUGCAAUGCCUUGGUCUGAACUGACCAUUGGACGAUGUGAGAAGAGAACACAGGAGGUGAAAUGUGUGGUUCUUGGGGGUUUAUUUGCCAUAGGAAACAAUUUGCAUUUCUGUUUCCUUCUGCCUGGUAUUCACAGGCAAGACAAAAUUAGCCAAACAAUCUUUCUCUGAGCUCUGAGGUUUACUGCCCUGUGACUCAACUUCCCCAACUGUGUUCUAGGGAGAACAAUCCUUUCUUCCCAGUCAGCAGUGUGGGAAGCUUUGUGCACCUCCUCCUUCAGGCAAAGCUCUGUCCAGAGCAUCCAGAUGGGAAGAAACUCUGCACUUGUGUGUCUUUAAUCCCAGUUCCAGGACUGAGAGUUUGCAAACGGCCAGUGAGUGUGCCACAGGACCGUGCACGUGCUGGGGACAAGAGGAGAUGCUGAUGGCACAGCCCCUCCGGAGAGCACAAGCACAGCCUGGUGCCUUCAUUCCUUGGGGCCAGCAAGGGUCCAAGCAGUGAACUCAUGGAUUCAUUGAGGUUGGAAGAGCCCUCUAGGAUCAUCCAGUCCAACCAUUCACCCAGCACUGUCAAGGCCACCACCAAACUGUGUCCCCAGGUGCUGCAUCUCUGCAUUUUUAACACUUCCAGGGAUGGUGACUCCACCAUUUCCCAGGGCAGCUGGUUCCAGUGCCUGGCAACCCUUUCAGUGGAUCCCAGGGUAUGAUGGGAUGCUGAAGGACAUGUUGCAGAUCUCAGGGGAAGCUUGGCAGUGCCUUGGUCUCUCUGCCUGUGCAGGAGCAACCCAGGGUGGGCAACCUUCAUUUCUAGAGGUCCCUGUGCAGAUAUCUUGGGGUGGCAGAGGUGGCUCCUCACCUUAUUGUGCCUGUACUGAGCAGAGGAGGGAGUUCACCUGUCCUGAAGCUCAACACAAGCCUGGAGAGCUUCUUCACAUCAUCUCUGGGGUGGAAGUGUGGCUGUGAGGUGGCCAGGGCUGAGUGGGACUUGGUGGCAUUGCCAGGCUGGAUUCGUGCCUGGAGGGGCAAAGCUUGGUGCCACAGCCUGCAGUGCUGGCACAGCUUAACAGGCUCCCAGCAAAGCUACUGGCACGAGUGGCCCCUGGUCUGGGCAGUGUGCUGGGGGGCUGGGGGGGCUUUCACAGCCUGCACAGCCAUUCCGGGCAAAUCCGUCUCAGGAUGAGGCAAAAUUAAAUAAAAAACCGACU